UACGUAGGAGGCGAGCGUUGUCCGGAUUCACUGGGCGUAAAGGGCGCGUAGGCGGCGGCUUGAGUCCCUGCGUGAAAUCUCCCGGCUCAACCGGGAGGGUGCGCGGGAUACUGGGCGGCUUGAGGACAUCAGAGGAGAGCGGAAUCCCCGGUGUAGUGGUGAAAUGCGUAGAUAUCGGGGGGAACACCAGUGCGAAGGCGGCUCUCUGGGGUGCACCUGA
rnacentral:rRNA from 1 species